rnacentral:misc_RNA from 1 species
CUCUACUAUUAUCUAGUAUUACUAUAUUUUUCCAUUAACAUAAAAAAGCAUAUUCUUUCUCAUUUUUAUUGAAUAAAUAAAAGUAAUAAAUAAGCAAAAUUUUCAUUUUUAUCUAGAAUUUAAAUUGUAAAAAAAAAAAAAAAAAACUUCAUAAAAGAUUAGGAAAAGUAAAAGUAUAUGAUAUAGAAACCUAUAAUAUAAAUGAAUACAAAUAAAAACAAACAAAUCGAACCAAAUUAUAAAAAGUACUUGUUAUUUUUAAAGUUUAAAGAAACUAUGUAAGGCAAAUAGUACUAAAUAAAAAAAGGAGCAAUAACGCCCUCUUGUUUUAUCAAGAGGGAAGCUAUUGCUCCUUUUUUAGUUCAAAAACUCCUAUACAAUCAGACCAAAGUC